UAAGCAACAUUGUGAAAGAAACUCUACAGUUGAGGGAUAUAAAGACAUUCGAAAGCAAUUUACGUACACAAUAAAGAAAUGAAUCCAGCCCCAUAAAAAAAGCCUGCGUGCUCCUAGCCUUUAGAGCUUCUUGCAUGCAAGACAGCGGCGCAUGUGGCGGAUGAGGCUCUGUUUAUGCGAAAAGAAUGCACUGCAGUGGUCACAGGAAAAGGGGCGCUCCCCCGUGUGGGUGCGCAUGUGGUCGUUGAGGAUAUCUCUCCGCGAAAAAGAUGCACUGCAGUUGUCACAGGAAAAGGGGCGCUCCCCCGUGUGGGUGCGCAUGUGGGUGUUGAGGUGAUG
rnacentral:lncRNA from 1 species